UAUGCAUGGUGCUGUCAGUGGACGGAAUUUGCUAUUGUUUUUGUCCUGUUUUAAGCCUCUGAAAGUUUUUCUCCUAGAUGCACCGGCGAUAUUUUAAUCAAGUAUAACGACAUCAAUACAGAAUACCCGCCCACCCGUCUGUCCGAUAGAACAUGCCAUUCAGACCAAUUCAUUCACUUAAACUACCCGGAAAAUGAAAAUGGGAAAUAUUGGUUUCAUACCACAGUACCCCAUUGAUAUCUGAUAUUGGUGUGAGGGUUUUGAACAGCAACCAUAACGGACAGUGUGAAAGGAAGAAAGAAAGAUGUCCUAAUCCCCUUUUGUGAAUGGAUAAUAUUAAAGCGGCAAAAUGAGAAUAAUGAACUGUUCCCACUUCGUUUCUACAUCAAUAAAUCAAUGAAAUGUUUACUUU